rnacentral:misc_RNA from 1 species
CGCACAUUGCGCCCCUUGGUAUUCCAUGGGGCAUGCCUGUUCGAGCGUCAUCUACACCCUCAAGCUCUGCUUGGUGUUGGGCGUCUGUCCCGCCUUUGUGCGUGGACUCGCCCCAAAUUCAUUGGCAGCGGUCUUUGCCUCCUCUCGCGCAGCACAUUGCGUUUCUUGAGGUGCGAAUCGCGUCCACGAAGCAUUAUUACCGUCUUUGACCUCGGAUCAGGUAGGGAUACCCGCUGAACUUAA